rnacentral:misc_RNA from 1 species
GAAAUGCGAUAAGUAAUGUGAAUUGCAGAAUUCCGUGAAUCAUCGAAUCUUUGAACGCACAUUGCGCCCUCUGGUAUUCCGGGGGGCAUGCCUGUCCGAGCGUCAUUGCGAACCCCUCAAGCACGGCUUGUGUGAUGGGCCCUCCCGCGUCUUGGUCGUCAAGACGGGCCCGAAAUGCAGUGGCGGCUUUGCGGUUAUCCGAUCAGCCAGAGCGUAUGGGGACUUUCUCUCUGUCACACGCCCGCGGCGCGGACCGACGCCUGUCGACCUUUAUUCAUCUUUUUCUCGGUUGACCUCGGAUCAGGUAGGGAUACCCGCUGAACUUAAGC